ACCUGGGUAGCUCAGUCGGUUGAGCGUCCGACUUCAGCUCAGGUCAGGAUCUCGCAGUCUGUGAGUUCAAGCCCCACGUCAGGUU
rnacentral:tRNA from 1 species